rnacentral:lncRNA from 1 species
UAAAGUUUUUCAUGACACAUUUUGGCAGGGAUAACGAGAGCCCGAAGAAAAUUUGUCAAAAUCUUUUCAUUUUCUUAGUUUGAUUUUACAAAGUUUCUCAUUGAAUCUCUUGUUUGUUCUUGGAUUUCAUGGAUUUCUUAAUUGUCUUUUCCCUUAUUAUUUUUUUCUUGAUUAUGAUGGCUGAUUCAAUUCUCUUGGGAGAGAAAUGCCCAUCGUCUUUAUUAAAAAUAUCAUAUUUAUGAAAUAGAGUUUCCUUCGUUAUGUAUGCAAUGUUCCAAUUCUUGAGAUUCUGUUAUGAAGGCCAUAUCAAAGGGGGAAAAGGUUGGAGUUGAAACUGUGAAAGGCGAGACCGUGGCUGCAUCUUCUUCAGGUUUUCGAACAGGUAACCUUAGAAAUUAGAAGUCUCUUUUUAUUGUUAAUCAAUCCCUUCAAUUUUUUCCAUCUAAAGGAGAUUGUGAAAUGCAUUGUCAAGCCCCCUAAGAAUGUUCUUGAUGAGGGCUUGCUCAAUAGAAGAAUGUUAUAGUUGGGCAAUUUGUGGGAAAGGCUUCAAACUUUAGCCAAUUCCAGAAAUUAGCAAAUAUUUUUAUAGGGAAGAAAAAGCGAUGUUGAUAUCAAACUUGUUAGCCCAAGUAUCUAUUUGAUUGCUCCUAAUAGAAAAAAAAAACUCGAGAUUGGAUUCUUGAAUCAAAACAAUGGCAUAUUCAACAUAAAGCUAUAAUACUCUGUAAAUGAAAGCCAGAAAUGUACUCUUAACAAUUUGAUUUGGAAGACGACUGUUAUUUAGAUUAAACUUGGAAACUUAUCUUUUGAGCAUAGGAGUAUGGUGGAAAAUAGGCCUUAUAUUAUCGUCGGGGAUUUCAAAGCAAUGUGCAGUCCCCAAAGAUAGUUUAGAUUUUAAUGGCUUUAAAACUUUUACAUUAGACAUGAAUGAUUUCAUUGAUUGUAUGGAAAAUUUGAAGGUUAUUGAUCACCCUUUUAUAGGGACUCUGUUUACUUGCUGUAACAUGAGACUGGAAUCACCUCUCUUUAGGAAGUUGGAUAGAGUAUUGGUUAAUUCAGCUUGGCACUCAUGUUUUCCAGUCUCAGUAGUAGAGUUUCUUCCUCUUGAUGUAACUAACCAUUCACUGAGCUUGGUCAAGCUUAAAUUUGUUAUUUCAUGUCCUUUAAAGCCUUUUAAAUAUUUCCCUUUUUGGGAUGGUCACCCUGAUUUUGGCAAGAUUGUCUAGCAAUCUUGGUGUGAGCCUAUCCAUAGGGACCCAAUGCAACGAUUUUUCUGCAAGCUAAAAAGACUCAAAGUUGUCAUAAACGAGUUUAAUAUCACUCAUUUUAGUAAAGUAUCAAGGAGAGUUGGAAAAUUUGCAAAUGAAAAUGUUAAGUAAACCUACUAAAACACUGAUUAUGACAGAGAAAAAGGUUGCGAGUGAACUUGCAUUCUUUUAGUAACAAGGGAAAAAAUUUUAUAGGCAAAAAUCAAGAGUGCAAUGGGUGAAGGAGGGGGAUCAAAAUACUUCAUUCUUUUCAUAAUCAAGUUCAAAUUAGGCUACUAUUCAAACUCUCUUUGACUCUACUGGUAAGAAAUUGGAUGCCGUUUAUGCCAUUUCUAAGGAGGUGAUUUGUUUUUUCAAGGAUACAUUAGGCACUAAGGAUCCAAGAGCUACUGAAUUUCAGAUGAGUUAAUGGUUGUUUAUUACAAGUUUAAGUGGUCAAAGAAUUGAAGAAUGCUCUUAUUUCUCCUAUCACUAUUAAGGAAAUUAAAAUUACAAUUUUCUCUAUGCACCCUUAAAACCUCCUAUCCCUGAUGGUUACUUAGCUGGAUUUUUUCGAAAAACUUGGAGGAUUGUGGGUUCAACCUUUGUGGAAGUUGUUAGGUUUUUUUUUCACUACUGGAAAAAUGCUGACUUUCUUUAAUUCCACAAUCAUUAUGUUAGUUCCCAAGGUUCCAAAUCCUAUUUACAUGACAAACUUUAGGCCAAUUUUCUACUGCUCCACUUUUUACAAAUGUGUAAGAGAGAUUCUAGCUAAUCAGCUUAAGAAAUGUUUUCCUAGCAUCAUCACUUAACCAAUGAGCUUUCAUGAAGGGGGGGAUAUUUGAAUGAUAAUAUUUUAUUAGCACGAGAAUUGGUUAACAGUUACAGUAGAAAGACUAUUUCACCAAUAUGUACACUAAAAGUGGACUUAAAGAAGGCUUUUGAUUCCUGAAGUUUGGAUUUCCUGUUACAAAUGCCAAGGGUUCUUGGAUUUUCGAAGAAGUUUAGGAAGUGGAUUGAAGCUUAUAUCACUAAACCAAAGUAAUCAGUGGCUUUUAAUGGUGGUUUAAUGGUAUAUAUUUCUAGUAAAAAAAAAAAGGGUUAAACAAGGUGAUCCCUUGUUCCCUUAUUUGUUCAUUUUGGGCAUGAAUGUUUUGUCUUGCCUUCUUAAUGCAACUGGGAAGCACAAAAUUUUGGACUCUCCUAAGUGCAAAAAUUUUUGUCGCUCCCAUCUUUGUUUUGCGAAUGACAUAUUGGUUUUCACCAAAGGGAAUUUGGCAUCUAUACAAGCAAUUAAAAAUGUUCUUGGCUUAUUUUGUCAAGUCUCUAGACUACAAAUAAACUCAUCUAAGAGUGAAUUAUUUAACACUAGUCUAAAUAAUUUUGAGGUGUAAGAAAUUGUAGAACCUACUGGCAUGAAAUUUGGAACUUUCCUAGUUAGGUACCUUGUUGUACCAUUAGUAACUAGGAAUUUGAGAUAUAGUGACUUCCACCCUCUUGUUGAAAAGAUUACAAGUAGGACUAAAAGUUGGGUUGCUAGAAAUUUGACCUUUGCGUGAAGGCUUCGGUUUUUUCAAUCAGUUGUGUUUUGCAUACAAUUUUUUUUGUGUAGAAACUUGUUGCCUUCAAAGGUUAUAAAGAAGAUCACUUAGAUCUCUGGUCAAUUUAAAAACCUUUGGAGGAUUUUUACAACUGCUGGAUCUCUAUGGUGGCUUGGUUUCAGACUUGUGUCUUCGAAUUCAAUUGCAAGCCAACUGUGCUUGAACUAUAAUGAAAUUCCUUAAGCUAAGAAAUUUAACUCCAUUGCGUAGUGAGGUGCAAUGAGGAAUUCUAAAAUGGAAAUAGAUUGGGGAGGGAUAUAAAACCGUCAAGGCAUGGGAUCUUAUCAGACAGAAAAGGGAGGGUACCAUGGCAUAGACUGAUCGGAGGUCAACUUUCUAUUCUUAACAUUUUUUUAUAUCAUUGUUAGCCAUGUAGGAUCGACAGGAGUAGGCUUUGCUCUUAGGGUUUUCAAAAUUUUAAUGAUUGCAUUUUGUGUGGAGAAGCUUUGGAAACUAGAGAUCAUCUUUUCAUUACAUGCUUUUUUUUUCUAAGCUGUUAUGGGAUGAUAAAUUGAAUGCAUGUGGUUUCAUUGAUGUUCAUUGUACUUGGCAUAAUAGAAUUCAAUGGUUAAUGGUAAAUGCAAAGGUGAAGUUUUAAAGCCACCAUCCUUAGGUGGUUUUGAAAGAAAGAAAUGGAAGAAUUCAUAGUAGAAAGUAAAGGUAAUCUCAAGCUCUUCUUUUGCCAGUGAAAGGUUUUAGAGAUACAGUUGAAAGGUUUUGUUAGGGAUACGAUAAUUGGCAGUAAGAUGGCCGAAAGAUCUCUUAGCCAACAAACUUUAAGCACAAAAUGGGGAUGGAGUGUAAAUAGAACAUGGAUGUUUUUUUUUUUUCAUUCUUUUGGUUACAGUACCCUACUUUUUGUAAUGUUGUAAUUAGACUUGAGUCAUUAUUUAUCUAAAAAAAUAUGUGCAACCAAUGUUUAUGUUUAGUUUUGAUAUUUAUCUUUUAAAUUGAAAAAAAAUUAUCUUGAUAAAAAAUCAAGGUUUUUUUUUUUAAUUUUAUGUUUUUACUAUUACAAAUAUAUAUAUAUAAGCAAUUAUAACAUGGAAUAAAUUAGUAUAAGACAGACAUGACAAGCAAAAAAUAAAAAAGAACUGAAAAAAAAAAUCAUCCAAGGCAUACACACAUGUUGGGAUUGAAAAACCGAAUAUCAUAACUAAACAUGGUGAAUCUCAAACCUAUAUGCUCAAGGGUCUAAAACUUUUGCCUUAACCAAGCUUCAAGGUUUAAUUGUGUUCAGGUUAAAAUAAUUUAGUUGUUUAAUUAACUUAGGUUUACAUUAAAUUAGAAUUAAUUUAAAUAUUUUAGUUUUAAGAUCCUUAAGCACCUAGGUUCGAAUCCCACUAUAUAUAAUUAUCAUGUGUGGGUUAUCCUCCAAACUUACUUUGGUUUCAAUGUAAUUAUGAUUUGUGUUGGUUUUAUUCUAAUUAUAGUUGCUGGAGCUUACGCUAUGUAAUUAGAUUAUAAUUGUACUUAUAAUUAGAUUUUUUUUUUAAAAAAAAAUAAAAAGGAAAAGGGAAAGUUUUGAGAUAUUGACUGUGGAAGUGGAUAUUUUAUUUAUUUAUUUUUUAAUUUAACAAAUACUGAUGCAUGAAAAAAUUUCAACUAACUUGUUUACUACUUGUAUAUCAAAGAAUUAUGUAUUAAAUUAAUGGGUUUGGAUUAUAAAAUAGGUUUCGGCUGUCAAAAUUAAGUUGACUUUUGUUUUGUUGUUUAGCUAAAUGGGCUUAGAUUGUCUAGCUAAAUGGGUUAGGUCUGUCAAAACUAAAUUGAUAUUAGCAAUUCAAAUUAUCUGAUGCUUUUAGUUUCAGUUUAAUUUUUCAAGAAAAACUUUUAAAAUUACAACUACAAACAAACUAUUCCUUUUUAAAGAUAAAUUUGUAUUUUCUAUAGAUUAAAGAUAAAAUUCUUAUAUAUAUAUAUAUAUAUUAUAAUUUUUUUAUACAAUAUUAAAAGUAAGGAUGAGGUAACACAAUUUGAACUCGUGUUCAACAAGUGUCUUAUAAAAAUUUUAACCAUUACUUCAUUCAAGUCAAGGCUUAUAUAUAUUAUAAAUAUUAACUCUUAACUAAUUUUUUUAAAAUAUUAGAAUAAAAAGUGUUUUAAAUAUUACAAAUGAUUAUGGAUGAGUUUUGGAUUUGAAUACUUUCAAACAUAUUCAAACCAUUUUGAAUCAAUUUAGAUAUACAUUUUUUAUUUUAAUUAAAUUAAAUGUAAACGUUUAAAUUUUGAAUUAUUUCCAUUUCAUCCCUGCAAGUGAAAAUUGUAUAAUCAUGUUGUUUUCUAAAAAAUAGCUUAAUUGUAAAAGAAAUAUGCAGGCAGUAGCAGAGUUAAAUUAAAGAAAAGUCGUGGUUUAUGAGAAAGAAAA